AAUAAGAUGCCUGAAUUAAUAGGACUAUUUUGAUAGAAUAGAACAUGUAUUUUAAAAUACUCUUAUUA
rnacentral:tRNA from 1 species